rnacentral:rRNA from 1 species
CAGUCGAACGAGGACCCUUUGAUUGGUAACUUUCGAAGGACUCCUAGUGGCGAACGGGUGAGUAACACGUGAGCAACCUGCCCCGAAGACCGGGAUAACCCAUGGAAACGUGGAUUAAUACCGGAUACCCUCUAGGGACCGAAUGGCCCCAUGAGGAAAGGCUCCGGCGCUUCGGGAUGGGCUCGCGGCCUAUCAGCUUGUUGGUGAGGUAACGGCUCACCAAGGCUCUGACGGGUAGCUGGUCUGAGAGGACGAUCAGCCACACUGGGACUGAGACACGGCCCAGACUCCUACGGGAGGCAGCAGCAGGGAAUAUUGCACAAUGGGCGCAAGCCUGAUGCAGCGACGCCGCGUGAGGGAUGAAGGCUUUCGAGUUGUAAACCUCUUUCAGUGGGGAAGAAGCGCAAGUGACGGUACCCACACAAGAAGGCCCGGCCAACUACGUGCCAGCAGCCGCGGUAAUACGUAGGGGCCAAGCGUUAUCCGGAUUUAUUGGGCGUAAAGAGCUCGUAGGCGGCUUGGCAAGUCGGUCGUGAAAGUCCGAGGCUCAACCUCGGAAUGCCGGUCGAAACUGCCAUGGCUAGGGUUCGGUAGAGGAGAGUGGAAUUCUCGGUGU